rnacentral:rRNA from 1 species
UACGUAGGGGGCAAGCGUUAUCCGGAAUCAUUGGGCGUAAAGCGCGUGUAGGCGGUCCGGUAAGUCCGCUCUGAAAGCCCAGGGCUCAACCCUGGGAGGCGGGUGGAUACUACCGGACUAGAGUACGGAAGAGGAGAUUGGAAUUUCCGGUGGAGCGGUGAAAUGCGUAGAGAUCGGAAAGAACACCAACGGCGAAAGCACUCUGCUGGGCCGACACUGACACUGAGAGACGAAAGCUAGGGGAGCGAAUGGG